GACGGAGGGGGCAAGCGUUGUCCGGACUCACUGGGCGUAAAGGGUGCGUAGGCGGUUUGGUGCGUCGGCGCUGAAAUCCGUGGGCUUAACCCACGGGCGCGUGCCGAUACGACUUGACUUGAGGCUCGGAGAGGGUGGGGAGAACUCCUGGUGUAGUGGUGAAAUGCGUAGAGAUCAGGAAGAAUACCUGUGGCGCAAGCGCCCACC
rnacentral:rRNA from 1 species